rnacentral:rRNA from 1 species
GCGCUUAACACAUGCAAGUCGAACGAGAAAGUGGAGCAAUCCAUGAGUACAGUGGCGUACGGGUGAGUAACACGUGGGGAUCUACCUUCUGGUGGGGGAUAACUCUGGGAAACCGGAGCUAAUACCGCAUAAGCAGGGAACUGGAAAGCCGAAAGGCGCCGGAAGAGGAGCCCGCGGCCGAUUAGCCAGUUGGUGAGGUAACGGCUCACCAAAGCAAAGAUCGGUAGCCGGCCUGAGAGGGCACACGGCCACACUGGCACUGAAACACGGGCCAG